rnacentral:rRNA from 1 species
UACGGAGGGGGCUAGCGUUGUUCGGAAUCACUGGGCUUAAAGCGCGUGUAGGCGGGUCGGCACGUCGGGAGCUGAAAUCCCCCGGCUCAACCGGGGAAGGGGCGCCGAUACGACCGGCCUGGAGGGACGUAGGGGGGGGCUGGAACUUCCGGUGGAGCGGUGAAAUGCGUUGAGAUCGGAAGGAACGCCCGUGGCGAAAGCGAGCCCCUGGACGUCUACUGACGCUGAGACGCGAAAGCGUGGGGAGCAAACAGG